rnacentral:misc_RNA from 1 species
UUAAGUUCAGCGGGUAUCCCUACCUGAUCCGAGGUCAACCUGGUAAUAAAUUGGUUAAGACUGAGCCCGAAAACCGCCGAGACGCAUGCUGAAGAGCUCGCUGCAUCCAGGGUCCACAAGACUCUGCCGUUUUCUUUAGGAUCCACCGUCGUCGCCGGCGGUGAGACCCAACAGCAAGCCGCGCUUGAGGGUUGAUAAUG